rnacentral:misc_RNA from 1 species
GGAGAACGUACAAAAUGAGGCCAUAAUAACUCAAGCUGCCUCCAAGGUCUGAAGACUGAUUGAGUUAUAUUUUACAUGUCCGAAAGAGCAUCAUGACUAACAUCCUGCUUCAUAAGAUUUUCAUGUCCAACACAUCUUGCCAUUAACCCCGUCUUCCAUAUUGCACAUUGUUGUCAGCACAAACACUCUGAUAUUCCUCAGGGAGUUCCUC